rnacentral:rRNA from 1 species
UGGGGAAUAUUGCACAAUGGGCGCAAGCCUGAUGCAGCCAUGCCGCGUGUAUGAAGAAGCCCUUCGGGUUGUAAAGUACUUUCAGCGGGGAGGAAGGUGUUGUGGUUAAUAACCACAGCAAUUGACGUUACCCGCAGAAGAAGCACCGGCUAACUCCGUGCCAGCAGCCGCGGUAAUACGGAGGGUGCAAGCGUUAAUCGGAAUUACUGGGCGUAAAGCGCACGCAGGCGGUCUGUCAAGUCGGAUGUGAAAUCCCCGGGCUCAACCUGGGAACUGCAUCCGAAACUGGCAGGCUUGAGUCUUGUAGAGGGGGGUAGAAUUCCAGGUGUAGCGGUGAAAUGCGUAGAGAUCUGGAGGAAUACCGGUGGCGAAGGCGGCCCCCUGGACAAAGACUGACGCUCAGGUGCGAAAGCGUGGGGAGCAAACA